rnacentral:rRNA from 1 species
GGGUAAUGGCUCACCUAGGCGACGAUCCCUAGCUGGUCUGAGAGGAUGACCAGCCACACUGGAACUGAGACACGGUCCAGACUCCUACGGGAGGCAGCAGUGGGGAAUAUUGCACAAUGGGCGCAAGCCUGAUGCAGCCAUGCCGCGUGUAUGAAGAAGGCCUUCGGGUUGUAAAGUACUUUCAGCGAGGAGGAAGGCAUUGUGGUUAAUAACCACAGUGAUUGACGUUACUCGCAGAAGAAGCACCGGCUAACUCCGUGCCAGCAGCCGCGGUAAUACGGAGGGUGCAAGCGUUAAUCGGAAUUACUGGGCGUAAAGCGCACGCAGGCGGUCUGUCAAGUCGGAUGUGAAAUCCCCGGGCUCAACCUGGGAACUGCAUUCGAAACUGGCAGGCUAGAGUCUUGUAGAGGGGGGUAGAAUUCCAGGUGUAGCGGUGAAAUGCGUAGAGAUCUGGAGGAAUACCGGUGGCGAAGGCGGCCCCCUGGACAAAGACU